rnacentral:lncRNA from 1 species
CUCGAGUGUUUUCUAUUAUAGCAAUGUUUAAGUCGUCAUGUUGCGGGAUUUUCAAAUCCCAAAAGAAGAACACACUUCAAAUUCAACAUGAUUUUCGAUUUGGUAACCGCAUUACUUUAAUAUAGAUCAUUAUAUAUUACAUAACCUUACACAAUCAAUUUACUUUUUAUGAUUAAUCUGAUAGAUGCAUGCCCAAUAUAUUUUAUUCCCAAAACCUUAUUUAAAAAGGAGGGGACAUGGUCAAAGUGUCGUGCAAACCAAAUUAUUGUUUAUUGUCACGGAAUAAUUACAAACUGUGCUAUAGUUUUUAAGAUUAUUGGAUAAUUGACUUGUUCUAUAGGUACAUGUACCUUACUUACCCAGGUGACAUAUCAGUUGUACCCUUGAUAUUGGUAUAAAUUC